CGGGGGGAGCAAGCGUUGUUCGGAUUUACUGGGCGUAAAGGGCGCGUAGGCGGCCUCCGCAAGUCAAUUGUGAAAUCUCCGGGCUUAACUCGGAAAGGUCAACUGAUACUGCGGGGCUAGAGUGCGGAAGGGGCAACUGGAAUUCUCGGUGUAGCGGUGAAAUGCGUAGAUAUCGAGAGGAACACCUGCGGCGAAGGCGGGUUGCUGGGCCGACACUGACGCUGAGUGCGCGAAAGCUAGGGGAGCGAACGGGAUUAGAUACCCCGGUAGUCCUAGCCUUAAACGAUGAAUGCUUGGUGUCUGGGGUUACAAAGUCCCCGGGUGCCGUCGCUAACGCUUUAAGCAUUCCGCCUGGGGAGUACGGUCGCAAGACUG
rnacentral:rRNA from 1 species